rnacentral:rRNA from 1 species
UACUGGAUAGGCAAUUAUUCCUGCAAUGGUUUUUUGUUUAAAUGUUUUUUCGCCUAAGGAUGGGUCUGCGGCCGAUUAGGUAGUUGGUUAGGUAAUGGCUUACCAAGCCGUUGAUCGGUACGGGUUGUGAGAGCAAGAGCCCGGAGAUGGAACCUGAGACAAGGUUCCAGGCCCUACGGGGUGCAGCAGGCGCGAAACCUCCGCAAUGUGAGAAAUCGCGACGGGGGGAUCCCAAGUGCCAUUCUUAACGGGAUGGCUUUUCAUUAGUGUAAAGAGCUUUUGGAAUAAGGGCUGGGCAAGACCGGUGCCAGCCGCCGCGGUAACACCGGCAGCUCUAGUGGUAGCAGUUUUUAUUGGGCCUAAAGCGUCCGUAGCCGGUUUAAUAAGUCUCUGGUGAAAUCCUGUAGCUUAACUGUGGGAAUUGCUGGAGAUACUAUUAGACUUGAGACCGGGAGAGGUUAGAGGUACUCCCAGGGUAGAGGUGAAAUUCUGUAAUCCUGGGAGGACCGCCUGUUGCGAAGGCGUCUAACUGGGACGGUUCUGACGGUGAGGGACGAAAGUUAGGGGCGCGAACCGGAUUAGAUACCCGGGUAGUCCUAACCGUAAACGAUGCGGACUUGGUGUUGGGGUGGCUUUGAGCUGCUCCAGUGCCGAAGGGAAGCUGUUAAGUCCGCCGCCUGGGAAGUACGGUCGCAAGACUGAAACUUAA